rnacentral:rRNA from 1 species
AAGGUCUUCGGAUUGUAAAGCACUUUUGGCAGGGACGAUGAUGACGGUACCUCGCCAGAAUAAGCCCCGGCUAACUUCGUGC